rnacentral:tRNA from 1 species
UCCCUGGUGGCUCAGAUGGUAAAGAAUCUGCCUGCAAUGCAGGAGACCCGGGUUUGAUCCCUGGUUUGGGAA